AGAGUUCGAUCAUGGCUCAGGAUGAACGCUAGCUACAGGCUUAACACAUGCAAGUCGAGGGGUAGCAGGGUAGCAAUACCGCUGACGACCGGCGCACGGGUGAGUAACACGUAUCCAACCUUCCCAUAACUCAGGGAUAGCCUUUCGAAAGAAAGAUUAAUACCUGAUAGUACUUUUUCAAGGCAUCUUGAGAAGUUAAAGAUUUAUUGGUUAUGGAUGGGGAUGCGUUCCAUUAGAUAGUUGGUGAGGUAACGGCUCACCAAGUCUUCGAUGGAUAGGGGUUCUGAGAGGAAGGUCCCCCACAUUGGUACUGAGACACGGACCAAACUCCUACGGGAGGCAGCAGUGAGGAAUAUUGGUCAAUGGGCGAGAGCCUGAACCAGCCAAGUAGCGUGAAGGAAUGAAGGUCCUAUGGAUUGUAAACUUCUUUUAUAGUAGAAUAAAGUGAUCCACGUGUGGAUUUUUGUAUGUAUACUAUGAAUAAGGAUCGGCUAACUCCGUGCCAGCCGCGGC
rnacentral:rRNA from 1 species